AGAAGGCCAGCCAGGAAUCACAACACGUUGACAUUGGGAUCUUGGAGAGCCCAGCUAAUUCUAGAAUUCGGAGAAGCCAAUAUUUGGUGUUUCACCUACCCAGCCUGUGGUCCUUUGUGACCUUAGCCUGAGUAGACACAUACAAUGUAUCUUUUUUCUGCUGGGGUUUCAGGUUCUCUAGAGAGGCUAGCUUCCUUCCUUUUUCUGCUUUUAUGAACCUCUUCUCAGAAGUGGUAAAGCAGCUCUAUUUUCUAGAAAUAAAUGCCAAAUUAAUAAAACGAAUGAAGGAUGUAAAGUACUAUUCUAUAGCUGGGGUCCCUUGAGACUAAUUACAAUAACUGCUCAUUUGUUACCAGCUAUCACUGUAGCCUGUGCAAUGGCUUCCGACAGAAAGGGAAGGAGGACAGGCAGCUUACAGCACCUGUACAAAAUGGCAGAGUUGGUGGCAAAUUAAAACUGAUUUAAGAUUUUAUCUCACCCUAUUCGAAAUGGCCACCAUCAAGAAAGCAAAUGUAAAAUGCCAGAGAGAGAGAGAGAGAGAGAGAGAGAGAGAGAGAGAGAGAGAGAGAGAGAGAGAGAGAGAGGAGCCCUUUACAUCUCUUAUAAAAUUGCAUGUAAAGUGUUGCAGUCACUCUGGAAGUCGGUCUAAACCACCGAAUUGUGCAGCUAAGAACUGCGUGUAUAGCCACAUACACUCAAACAGAGGCAGUUGGAGUCUGUGCUCAUUAAAGCUCUAGUCACAGCAGGGAAGAAACAGAACCAGCACAGUCACCUAUCAACAGAUGCAUGGAUAAAGAGAUGUGCUACGCGGACACCAAAGGGACUUCACGAAGCCAGUUUUGUUUUGUUUUGUUUUGUUUUGUUUGCCAGCCCCAUUUGGUUCUAUCCUCAUUCUCUGGGCUAUCCAGGGGGUGAGCUCCCUCUCUUGACUGGACCAAUCACUGGUUGGCCACUCCCACAAUUUCUGUGCCACCUUUACCCCAGCAUAUCUUGUACGCAGGACAAAUUGUAGGUUGAAGGUUGUGUGGCCCCUACUGGGUUGCUUCAUCCAGCCUUAACACGAAGAGAGGUGCCAAAUCCUAGUGCAACUUGAUAUGCCAUGUUUGGUUAAUAUUCAUGGGAGGCCUGCCAUUUUCUGAAGAGAAAUGGAGGAGGAAUGGAUGGUGGGGGCAGAGGGGAGGUGCAGGGGGCCGAGGAGCUGGGAGGUGAGGGAGAAGGGGAAAAUGAGGUUAAGAUGUAAAAAACUAUAAUAAUACUAAUAUUAAUAAAAAUAUAAAUACCUAGGGGUCUUCAGAAUUACUCACUGCGAGGGAGUUGGGAGGCAAAGUACAGGCACAUAAUGAUGAUGAUAACGAGGAAGAGGAUAACAGUAGCCAGGACAAAUUUCUCUGAGCUGGAUCUUUGCUGACCCACCGGCUCCUACCCCAUGUUCCUUGGUAUUUAGCAUGGUAAUACACAGAUGCAAAUGACUACUAAUAAAGUACUGAAUCUUUGUUGGAUCCAUCUGUCAAACCUCUUCAUUUGCUUCACUAAUCAGAUCUUCAUUUCCUUGGCUCAUCUGAUCUCUAUUUCCUGGAGAGCCAAAACAAAACAAAGCAAGCAACUCAGGGUGCCUUGUCCUCAGAAGAUGCAGCAGGAAGGAGGGGGCCAGCGCUUCACCAGGCUCUGGGCUGCUUGCUCUUCCCACAUGCAUUAGCUUAAAAGCAGCAACUAAGAGUUAAGGCUUAUUUCUUCACUACAGUUCAGCUCUGCACAGGGGACUGAUUUUAGGACUCCCCAAGGACACGGAUGUCCUAGAGUACUGUUAUAUAAAACUUGGGAUACUUUAAAAAGCAUAUGCAUAUUCUCUUGCAUAGUUAAAAUAAUUUCUGGAUUAUAAUGAGACAGUGUAGAUGACGUGUAAACAGUUAUCCUGAAUGGUUGAGGGAAUAUCGACAAAAGAAAAUGCCUCUGCAUGUGGAAUGCAGAUAGAUCUUUUCCCCUUAAAUACUUUCAUGUGUGGCUUAAGCCAUGAACACAGAACAUGAGGACACAAACCAGUUACGUUGAGUUUGAUUUUGCCUUACAAAACUCACAUGAGGGAAUGGGAUGAAGGCUCAACUGGUUAAAAAACAAAAGCUUGCCUUGGAAGCACCGACAGGGCUUGAGUUGGAUUCUCAGAAUGCACUUACAAAGCCAUUUGUGGUGGGGUGUGCUUAUAAGUCCAGUACUAGGAGACAGAGGCAGGUAGGUGAGCCCUGACUACUUGGUAAGCACUGGGCCAGUGAAAGACUCUGUCUCAAAAACCAAGGUGGAUAGUUCCUGAAGAAAACUACCCAAGGUUGUCUUCUGUUUUCCCCAACUCCCAUGCAUGCAUGAACACAUGCAUACACACACACACAAAAGAACGGUUAUGACUAACUCAUGUCUUCUAUUCCUUUGCAAUUGGUACUAUGCUAAUUCUGUCUCUACUGAAUGUGCUGGGGACCCUGCAUGGCUUGUUUUCUUGGCCCUAAUUCCUUUCCACUGAAAAGGGGUCUAUAAUGAAUGGUGUUCUACACUUCAAAGUCAACGAGUAGUUCUGCCCACCAUGACUCCCUUCCCUGAAGAGCCCCUGUAAUCCCCAGAUUCUAUACAUUAGAUUAGCAGUACUGCUUCAUUUUCAAUUUGAACAUCCCAACCACUUGGAGAGCAGGAGACUAUUCAUCAUAGGCCAGCCUCCAUCCCCAGUGUUAUACGAAUAAAAGAAAUCCAACUAUUAACACUUGUAUGAUGGGAUAACUGAGUAAGAAUAUCUGGACCAAUUAUGUAGACUUGCUAAAGCCAACACUGGAAGGGGGCUUGGUCUUUUCAAUUCAGUACCGUGUGGUGCAUACAACACAAGGCACGAUGGCAAGCAUAGGCUAGAUCCGUACAGAUCCAGCCACGCUGGAAGCCUCGGAGGUUUACCCGUACAGAUCCAGCCAUGCUGGAAGCCUCGGAGGUUUACCCGUACAGAUUUAUGGGGGACAGGGAAUGUCUUCCUGCUCUUUCUACCUCUGCUGCCUUACCAGGUACUUUUUUGUGUCUCUAAUGACCUCAGAUUCUUGCUCAGGGCCUCCCUAAAGCAGGACCACCUGCGUGGAAUUCUGUCCUUAUAGCUGGCAGUGCUGGCUGCUAAUGGGCCACUGCUUAAGACGGAAACGGUGAGAAGCUGACAAGGUCUCGCUGACACAGGAAGGGAAGACUACAUGUGGGAUGUACAAACAAGUAGUUUCCCAAUAUUCUGGAAGGAAGACUCAUGAUGGAAGCAUUCUCUCCCAGUGGAUCUCAACGCGUGUUCACAAGACCAACCCUCUGGACAAGCCUUCUUGAGUCCCUGGAAUUUAUCACAGGGGUUAUGGCCUUAGUAUUCCCUGCCCCAGUCAAAGAGCUGUCGCCUAUCUUUCUCCCUUUUAAACUAACGAGGCCUCUCCAAACCCCUUGUGCACACAGAGCCUGUAGCAGAUCUGGAGAAUGAGAUGGAUUUUUAAGUAACCAUGCUUGGCAGAGUGAUUUCUCCUCAGUACACAUCUGGGUUACAUCUGUCAGAAUCUGUGUUCCUUCACAGGAGUGCCAGUCUCAUCCCUGCUCGUAAAUAUUAGACCAAAUCACCCAUCUCUUGGCAAGAUGGCUUUUUACAAAUUAGCAGCACCAACUUCCAGAUUAGCUUCCACGGAGGCGCCUAAGGUAUCUUAAGAUGUCUCAUUAUUGCUUUUCCCUCCAGACUCUUGAGAAGUUUUAUGAGCUUUCAGGAACAGAAAGUUGUUUUGAGAUGUGCAUGGAUUCUAAACUUUAAUUUUGAAGGUACACUGCUACUUUUUGGUGGGAUGACUGGUGGCAGUGACUGCCUUUCUGUUUCUUUUUCUUCUUUUAACUUCAAAAUACAUAGGGCAACAACAGCAACCCUUAAGUGUUUAUUUUGGAAAGAGCCCACCCCCACCUUUAUUCUUGCUCCCAUACUUCCUGGUAGCAUAUAAUCAAUACAUACUCUGAACUUAGGUUUUAGACAACUCAGCAGACAUAAGCAUUCCCAGUGUCAUCAACAGAAGUAUUUUAUUGCUCACAGAUGUCACCUUGCUAUCUUCAGGUUUUUUUUUUCUUUUUCUGCUUGCACCUCGUUUAUUUUACUGUGUCACAAUGGAAUGUCUGCCUGAGACUCUUUCCAGUGUUUCCUGCAAUGGAAGGAUGCUUUGCCAAUAACAGCAAGUUCAGUACAGAAGGGUCAACAAGCCGCACCUGCCUGGAGCUCAUGAAGUGUGCAACUGGUGCCCAGCUGUGUGAGGUUCCACGAUGCUGAGGAAACAUCUUCUGUUAGGGGAUGCUUGUGGACCAGACCCCUGUACCCCAGAGGAAGCUGCUGAUCUGUCAAAUGGAAGCUUGGGCCUUUGAGUAUUUCACAGUAUAAUCAGACUUUCUAAGCCAGCAGAGUAAAUGAUCAGGCUACCUUUGGCUUUUUUUCAGUGCCCCUUAGAGAAAAUAUCUCAGUUGUAGGUUAGAGGGCCAGAGCAGCACAGAGCUGAUGAGACUCCUGGUGCUUUUGCCUCAGUACUUGACUGGGAGUCCAGCAUCAGAGGUAAGUGUGACUUCUAUUUGACAGCUGUGGAGUGCAGGAUGAUUUAGAUAUAAUGUUUCUUUAAGUAGAGGAUGCAUAUUGAGACAGUCAGUGGACUCUGGAACAAGAUAAGUAUAUUCUAAGCAUGGGUGUGUAAUAACAUCUGAGUCUAAGCUGAGUGUGUAUAUAUGGCAUAGCAGAUCCUAAGCAUAGGUAUGUGAGCUCAGCAGAUCUUAGUAUAGGUACUUAGAGGGAAAGUUCCAGUCAUAUACCUUAGAAAAAGAAACUGCAUUUGACUCUAGAGAAGAUUUACUGUAUACGUUAUAGGAGCCAUAGGUCACAGGUGCACAUGUUCUUAAUAAUAUCUAUUCAAGAGAGAAAACUACAAAGAAAAGGUCCUACCAUUAAGAUCCCAUUGUAAGUAUCAAAGUCUCAAACUGUAUAUAACAUUUAGAGAGAAACUGGCUCUUAGUAUGCAGCCUCGGCUGGCUAUGUAACUAUGUAACUAUGUUCACUAUGUAACUCAGGAUAGCCUAGAGCUCACUAUGUAGCCAAGGCUGGCCUAGAGCUCACUAUGCAGCCAAGGCUGGCCUAGAGAUCACUAUACAGCCAAUGCUGGCCUAGAGCUCACUAUGCAGCCAAGGCUGGUCUUAGACUGGCUGUUAUCUUUCUGCCAGCAUGUAUUUUCUCUCUUCUAUCUUUGGUAGACUUGUAAGACCAUGUUAUCAACUAGGUUAAUGUUCUUAAUUUUCGCUGUCGUGAAUCCAAAGAAACUGAAAAGUAUAGCCUUGUUGCCCUUUUCUUUUAGUAGUUAAGUUGUUAAUUUUAUUUCUCCAAAGCUCCAAUUUUCUUACUAAGAAUACCAAUUUUUAUAAAAAAAUAUUUUUUAGACUUAUUUUAUUAUUUUAAGUGUUUGGGUGUUUUGCCUGCAUGUUAUAAUAUAGCUGUGCCUUGCAUGUAUGCCUGGUGCCUGAGACCAGAGAGAGCAUCAGACCUAAUGGGCCUGGAGUUUCAGAUGGUUGUAAUCAUCAUGUUGGUGCUGGUACUCAAACCUGGAGCCUCUGCAAGAGCAGCUUGUACUCUAAAUCUCUGAGCCAUCUCUCCACCCCAUUGGGGAGCCAAUUUAAAAUCUUUCAAUCACCCUUUGCUCUGUUGGUUUAACAAUUCAUCUUAGUAUCUAAGGUGUUUAAUGGAUUUUCUCUGUUCAAAGCACUGCCUUUUUCUAGCAUAAUUCAAGAAUUAGUAAUUACACUCCCAAAGCAAGUGGCUGUAACCCAUGAGCUGCAUGUCAGGCCCAUAAGUUCUCCACAGCCGAGGAACAAUGAUCAUAAGAAAAGAAUCGAUAGCUUCCUACUUCCCAGAGCAAUAUUGUCUGCCAAAAUUAACCUCCAUCAGCAUCACCCAUGAGGGAUGACAAGAUGGAAAGCUACCUGCAUUUCCUACAAUUGUUCUUUGGGCAUCUGGAGUGUCUGUUUCAAGGAUCCAAUGAAAAGGUCUAGAAAACAAAUAUACAAAGUUACACUAAUAUGUUUCUUUUGUGUGUUCUCAAAGCUGAAUCUAAGAGAAAUGCAGUGCUCAAUGGCUGAAGAGACUGCUCUAGUCUAACGCUUCUUUGUGAAGUUAGCAUCAGAGUAGUUAUGAUAAAGAGGAUGUUAGGAGAUGUGGGGUAAGAGGUUGUCCUUUGUUCUUUGGCCAGGAAUUCUGGGGCAAGUAACAUCUGAUUCCAAUCCCCCACUUUAGAAAAAAACAAACCAUCACUUAGAAAGUGCAAUGGUUUAGAUGUUGUCUCCAAAGGUUCAUAGUUUGGUCUCCAGGUUAGUGAUUUUGGGGGUUGAUUGGAAAACCUUUAAGAUGUGUUAGGUCACUUACAGUUGGGUUCUCAGAAGGGGCUAUGAAGCCUCACUGUUUUUCUCAUCCCUGUAAAAGGUAUUUAAUCUCAGGCCUACCCUGAGAAAAGAGGGUACAUAUCCAUUUUCCACCAUGACAAUAAACUGUUUAAAACGGUGGACUGUCUCUUUUCACCAAUGUACUCCAUGGAGGGCCAUGAAGAAGGCCUUUGCCUACAGAGCUACAACCUAAUCUCCCAAAGAAGACCCCUCUGCACUCCCAGCCCAACUGCCACCAACCCUGCAAGCUAAGGACAAUCAUCUCUGCUGGGACAAGCUGGAGUUUCCUUUCCUACCCACCCCUGACCCCAAGCCCCAAGCCAGACACUGUCCCCAGCCCACUGACCCCAGUGGCGCCUAGAUGUCCAAGAAUCUGAGAACCCCAUGGCCCAAGCCUUGUCUCAGGCCCGGGGACCCCCUAACCAGCUUCAGCUUUCCCACAUCUCAGACUGUGUUUUCUCACGCCCCAGAGCAGUGUUUCAGUGCUUCCCUACAGCCUAGCACCCACCAUGUUGGCAGUGUGCAGUCAAAUUCCCUGCAUUCCACCUCCCCAAGUGGCUGUGCUCAAUGGCAGAGCAGACUGGGGCCCACAACCCUACAGUUAGGGGCAUGGACCAUUGUGUCUGGUGCACCUGAAGUAUAUUUCUUCAGGCACAAAAUAUUGAGCACAGGCCCAGAGAUACAGCUCAACAGUAGGAUGCUUGCCCAGCAUGUGUAAGGCCCUGGGUUCAGACCCCAGGACAAAAAGAGAAGAAGAGCUAAAGAUUAAAGAAAUAUGUAACGUUCUCUGCAAUAUCCCGAGCAUGUGGUAUUUACUCAAGACUGUGAAUCUCUCUACUUCUCUUUAUACAACAAGAACAACAACAAAAAAAUGCUUACCAUGAACCAAGUGCCCUCCCAUAUUUUCAUGACAUGUAGAAAAUAUACUUAUUACUUCCCCUUUUUUCCCCUCAGAUAAGCAAAAAGAAAGGAUGAGCUGUUUGCUCAAAGUUGUGCAGGCAGUAGGUAGCUGGGCUGGGCCUUGAGUAAGCCUGAUGACGAAGAGCUUCUUGGCAGAGGGAUACAUCAGGGACAGGUGACUUCAGUACAUCUCCCUGCUGUCCAGCAAAAGCCACACUGCACUUUCUUAGUGUCCUUCCGAUUUCACCCCAUUUCCUGAGGCCUGGUCAGAUGAAACAGUUCUGUGAUGAGGCUUGGUCGAUCCCUAAAACUAGAGGCUGCUUUUGCUGUGAGGAAGCAUAUAGCGAGUCUCUAGGUGGGAGGAUGAAACAAGAUGAUAUGCAAAUUGGAUUUUGGAGUUCUGACUCCGAUGAGCUACAAUUUCUUUUCCAGAAGUAAUCAUGAGUUACAACCAGGCAUUUCAGUUAUCCUUGCUGGGAUGUGUCCAAUGACAGUGACACCAAGUUUAAGGUCCUGGAUAAUGUGUGCAUGUAUGUGGGUAGGAAGGUAGGUUAUGUGUAAAUCUAUAUCCAUAUAUUUUUUAUGUUGGACUUUUGUCUGUAUAAGUACUUCUUUAGGCAUAUAUGUCUAUUAUGUAAUAUGCACACACAAACAUGUGCAUCUAUAGAUUGUAUAUAUGCAUUCAUAUUUUUGUGCAUUGGUAUGUGUCCACAUACAUUUCCAUGAAUGCAUAUGUAUACGUCUUCUGCCUAUUCAACUUACUGUGUCGAUUAUGUGCCAACUGUAUAACAAGGAUGAUAUUUUCUUUAAUUCACUUUUUUUGCAUUAAUUUUGACUUGUCAAAUCUAAUUUUCUAAUUAACUGCUUAUUUAAAUAACAGCGGCAGUGUUAUGGCAUUAUAGUCCCUAAAAAAUACAUUCCACUGUUUUCUCUGCACAGCAGGUGCUUGAGAGCACUCUUUUGCGCUGACAGCUCAGGUUGGGGGUAUAAAUCUUUAUUUACAGAACAAAUAAUGUGUUUAUUAAUUUUUUUCAAUGGGAUUUGGGCCUAUAAAUCUACUAAUCGUUCUCCCUGCUGUGCGUGUUAAGUUACCAGGGAGGGCCCGAGCUGCAAGUGUUGUUAUAGCCUCUAGGUGCACACGUUGUUUCCCUGCAGACUUCCCCCAUUGCUUCAUUUAAUGAGCUAUAGCAGGGAAAUUCAACACAUGGCCUUCUGCGAGACAACUGUCACUGAGCGUGAAGGUAGUUCUUCUGUCUGACACUGUCCCUAAAUCUAGGGUUGCAAAUCCACAGGCAACUGCAGAAGACAUGGCUCGUCUCAUGAGAGCUGCCAUGACUGCGGGGAUCAGCUGUUGCCAGGAGGAAAGAAUGCACAUCCAGAUUGCCAAGGUCAGAAUUCAGGUUCAUUUGCAAACCCUGCGGUAUUUAAAUGUUGGCUCUCAUCAGAGCUGCAGUAAGAGAAUUUGGAUAAGCAAAACCAUACAUGCACGUGUGUGAGUGUGCAUAUAUGUGGACAUUUGGUGUGGUUUGUGUGCACAUUUUUUUCUUGUUUUUUUUCCCCUUUUCUUGGAUAUUUUCUUUAUUUACAUGUCAAAUGUUAUCCCCUUUCCAGGUCUCCCCUCUGGAAACCCUCUAUCCCAUCCUCUUUUCCCCUGCCUCUAUGAUAGUUCUCCCCCUCCCACCCACCCACUCCUGCCUUCCUGCCCUGGCAUUCCCAUACUGGGGCAUCGCAUCCCCUCAGACCCAAGGGUGGCUCCUCCCACUGAUGUCCAAUAAGGCCACCCUCUGCCACAUAUGCAGCCGAAAUCAAGGGUCCCUCCAUGUGUACUCUUUGGUUGGUGGUCCAGUCCCCGGGAGCUCUGGGGGGUCUGACGGGGGUGGGGUAAUGGUGGUCUGGCUGGCUGACACUGUUGCUCCCCACAUGUAGCUGCAAACCCCUUCAGCUCCUUUAGUCCCUUCUCCAACUACUCCAUUUGGGACCAGUCCAAUGGUUGGCUGAGAGCAUACGCCUCUGUAUUUGUCAGGCUCUGGCAGAGCCUCUCAGGAGACAGCCAUAUCAAGGCUCAUGUCAGCAUCACUUCCUGGCAUCUGAAAUAGCUUCCAGGUUUGGCAACUAUAUAUGGUAUGGAUCUCUAGGUGGGGCCGUCUCUGGAUGGCCAUUUGUACAUGUGUGCAUCAGUGUGUGCAAGGGCAUAUAUAGACAUAGGGCAUUGGGAUUGACUUUCACUUUGAAUACUGGUGUAUACUCUAAGGGAAGCUUUUGGAGUAUGGAAGUCUGUCUCUACUCAUCCCAACAGUCCCAGACAUGGCUAGACUAGAGAGCAGGUAUUCCAACUGAUGAAAUCACACGUGGGCCCUGCAUAGAUAUGGGGAGGAGAGUUUGGUUAAAUCAUUAGAGCGCGAUCUAUUUUCUUUUCUCUAGAAGUGUUUCUUGCAAUUCUUUCAUCCCAAAGGGAGGCAUAAAUUUUAGUAAGGACCACCAAUGAAUUAGAUAUUUUUAGAGGUUGUUUUGUUUCUUCUAUGUGUCUGUGUGAACUUGUUUGCUCUAAAUUUGGAGAUGUAUAUCAAUGGGAGUUUUUAACUUUUUUUUUUUUAAUUACAGCAAAGAACAAAACCUGGCAGAUUUGAACUGCCUGGUGAAUCCAUAAAUCAGCUGUCCUAGGUUAGUGUGCUCAAAUAACCACCUGAGGUUACAGGUUGAACGCCUAUCUAUUAAAUAUGUCUGAACAUCAUUCUGCCCCAAAUAUGAAAUGCAAGACAUCUGCAUUUUUCUCAGUGCUUGCAUAAUGCCAUAGGUGGAGACUUCCACAUCUGACAAUCCAUAAGCAGGCACACUGAACACAUUGGACUAGGCUCUGUGGGAGCACAACAUAUAAAAACCAUGAAGGUAUUUCAUGGUUAGAUAUGGGUCCGUUUCCAAAGAUACCAUUUUAUGUAUAUGCAAACAGUCUUCCAAAAUCUGAAUUAAAAAAAAUGGAAAUCCACAACAUGUGGCUCCCAAGCCUUUCAGAUCUGGGCUACUCAAGUCACGCAGAGAGAGCUCUGCAUGGAGCAGGCCUUUGGAUAACCUAGGAACUGACUCUAAUGGGUUGCUGAUUGAUUGGUGGGCUGAGCAAUGAUAACUCUGAUGACCUGAGAGGUUUCACUGCAGGUGAUGCUACGAGGAAGGCGGUAUUUUAAAUGACCUCAUGCUCUUAAGGACUGUAGUUAAUGUCUCCGUAGUUGUUCAUGAUCAAUUAGUGAAAAGAUAAGCCACUAUAAGCAUGCCUGCUGGUCUCUCUAGAGCAAAUACAAUUCUGAGAAGGACGGGGUGAUAUCAGUUCUCAAUGCUACAAGCAAAAGGUUUAGAAUCUAGCUUAACAGCUAUUAGGCCUUGGGGAAACAUGAAUAGUCUAUCAAGAAAUUUCAGGGAUGGGGGAGAUGGCUCAGUGAGUGCUUGAUAUGUAAUCAUAAGGACCUGACCUUUAACCCCACAUAAAAACCUGGGUGUGGCCCUGCUCCUGCCUCUAACCCCAGGUCUUCGAGAGGUGGGGACAGGAGGAUGACUGGUGCUUGGUGGCUCCCAGCCUACCUCCAGGCUCAGUGAGAGACCCUUUAUCAAGGGAAGAAGUCAAGUCAAAGAUUGAUAGAGUAGGACAUCUGGCAUCCUCCAUAUCCACACACAUGUGUGCAUGCACCACACACACAAACACAUGCAUGCACACACAUGCACAUGGACACACACCCCAUGGACACACAUGUGCACACACGUGCAAACAACAACAAAAACAUCAAAAGAUGUGAAGUUAACACAAUGGCAAAUUUCUCCCUUGGUGGGCCAUCUUUACAUCCUGUAUUAAUUUCUGGAGUAAUAUAAAGCAUUAAGAAUCACCCUGACAAUCCAAAACAAGACCAAAGAGCUUCAUGAAGUAGGUGCUGAGCAUUUGGUCUCAUGACAUUUCUAAGGUUCUUGCGGAAAUUAAUGUGCAGUUAGGAGCCUUUCUCCAGGGCAACUCCCCUGCUGCUGCCUCUGCUCCUUCACCUCUCCCCACCGCUCUUACUCCCAUCUCUACUGUGUAGUAUGCACCACGUCAAUGACUAUAAAUAAUAAAUCACCAGUCCAUUUUCACAAGGCAUUAGUCAUCCUCCUCCUUGCUUAUGACUUAGGACUAGUUUAUCAUUGUAUACCUCUGUCUCAUGAGAAACAGGGUCACAGUGUCAUUGCAUAGGAAUUAUAGGGAUAUGUGCUCCAGCUUGAGUGCCCCUGGAAGAUAUAUUUAAUUUUUGACUAGCAGGCAAAAUAACAUUGUAUGUGCCAUAAUACAAUCUCCCUCAUUUUCAAUUACUACUGUUGGUUACCUUAAAUUCACUAUAUCGAGGUAGUGGUGGCACAAGCCUUUAAUUUUAGCAGUUGAGAGCAGAGGCAAGAAGAUCUCUAUGAGUUCAAGGCCAUCCUGGUCUAUAGAGCAAGUUGCAGGACAGCCAGGGAUACACAAAGAGAAAUAAUGCCUUAAAAACAAACAAAAAACAACAACAAAUCUACUGUAUCCAUCCAUCCAUCCACCCACAUAUCACCCAUCCAUCAGUCAUCUAUAUCUAUCAUCCAUUCAUUAUCUACCUAUUCUUCCACCCAUCCAUCUACCCAUACAUUCAAUAUGUACUCUUGAGAUGGCAAGUGAGGAUCAAAGUCCUUCUGAGAUGUGGAUGCUGCCUAUAAACAGAGCUACAGGCCUGCAAAUGUUCUCAGGGACCAUCUGUUGGUGUAAUUGCCCAGGAGAAAAGAGGGUACAUGACUUGCCUAAGAUCACAGCAAUUACCAGAGACCAAACUAGGAAUAAGGCUCAAUUUCCUGCCUGGGGCUAACAGUCUUCCCUUGGUAUCUGUUACCAUAAGUAGCUCCUGGAGUGUCGCCAUUUGUUGACUUUUCCCUCUGUAAUUCUGUGACUUACUGGACCCCCAGCCUCUGAACUGUUAGAGCCGAUCCUUACCUGAUCGUCACUUCAACCAAAAGCCUCCUCAGCUGACGCUGCCUUUUUCUCACUCUCCAACUGACAGAACUUUGGCAUGAUUUGACAACUGAAGUGCAAACAGGAAUGUGGUGUGUGUGUGUGUGUGUGUGUGUGUGUGUGUGUGUGUGUGUGUGUGUGGUGUGUGUGUGUGCAUGCAUGCCUGUUAUAAUGUGUAUAUCUGGUGCUGUUGGGACACCCAGGAGGCAUGGACCUGCCUGUAUGUUUUCCAGCCAGCCCCAACAGGGCUGCUGACUUCCUGCUCAGGGUAACAGUUUUGUAAAAGUACAACUCUGCUCCUUGGCCCUGUCCCCAGCUUGCUCUGGUAACAGCUGCUGAACCAUGAGGCAGCAUCAUGAGGAAUUAACCAAAUUAGAGAUGGUACUGUCUGUGAGAAGCUCAGAGCAUCUGAGACAAAAGAAAAAAAAAUCCCAGCAACAAAAGGGAUUAAUCUGUCUGUGCAAUCUCUCCGGAGGACAGAUUUCUUCUAGAUGGAUCUUGUGUAAGAUCUAGGCACAGCACUUCAAGUGGCAAUCUGCGGUUGAAAUGAAUUAAUUUUCUCUCGGACUGUUUGUGAAUCUGUGGAUUGUUAAUUUUCCCGGGCAGAGACAGCAGACACACAAGACUGGAAAAUCCUGGGAGUCUGGCCCUGAGUAGACUUUCCGAGAUUGGCAAGUGUUUUUCAUUGAGGAGGAAUGUUGUUGUGGAAAGCCCCGUGGAUUGAGGACUGGGGGCCUCCAUCUGGGUGCACUUGAUGAUUUAGGCAUUUGCUGGCCGCAAGGCUCUCUGCUCUCCACCACAGCUGUGCCUCUGCUGAGACUGCCCCUGAGCUGGAGAGCUGAGGGCUGAUGCUGCUCUAGGGACCUGACACAUGGACACUUGGAGACUUGUCUGGAGCGGAGUCUCCAGCUGCAGACACUUCACUUUGUAUAAAAGUACUCCACUGUGGCUUGCCGGUUUCCUGGAGAGGGGCUGGUCGUGGGGUCCCUCAUCUGAGGCGAGCUGAUUGAUUCUUUUGUGUGCCACAGUGGAACAUGCACACAAAUUAAAGUGCUCGUCUUGGCCCCAGAAAAUGUGUAUCUUAUGGACACAGAGGGAAAUCAAGCCAUGGGGUGAUUUCUGUAGUGGAGGAUAGCUACUCUGACAUUUCUGGUUUUAGUGCCAGAGAGAAAGCGGCUAGAGCCACUCACACCGGCAACCCCGUUGUACAAGUGGCUUGCUUAAUUUUCCGUGCCUUUACUUCUGAGCACAUGAGUAUAUCUUAUACUCACACAGAGCCUGAAAGGCUACUUUUCAAAAGCAGUGAAGUAGAGUUGCCUAUCUGAACUAUAAUGUGAUGGAUGUUCAUACCAGCACUCUCUAAGUGACUAGAUGCCCAGAGUUCAAGGUCAGGCUCCCUGGGAAAGUCCGUAUUACAACCCCGACUCUUGUGUUUAUGUUCAAUUGAGGUCAGAGCAGGCCUCGGGCCAUUUCCAGUGAUGAUAAUUACAAGUAGUUCAUCAAGUGGUCAUUAAAAAAAAUCAUGGGACUUCAAAAACAGAAGUGAAUGUCACUAGGAACCAACAACAAAAAACAAAAAAAGACACUUUUCAGUGUGAAGAGUCUCUAGAGAGCUGUCUGUUGAGUUUUUCCCUGGAUCAGAGACAGGGAGUCAUUUCAGAGAGAAACAUUUACUCCGAAAAAAGUCUGUGGAAGUUUUCUCUAUAAUUAGUUUGAGGCAUGUGUCUCUGGAGGAUCCAGGCUGGUCCCUGUGACAAUAGCUAGAGCUCAUGUGUUACAGCCACUUUAAAUACUGCAGUUCCUAUGGUCAGCAAUAAUUUCCCUCUUGUGAACGCAGUUUGGAAAGUAUGAAUGGCACACACGUGCUUGUGCACAUAAUACACAUGGGGGGGCAGGCAUGUGUGUAAGUCUAUUCUCCAUCUAAUGACUGACUUUUUAAAUGAGGAGACAUCGGUUAAAUAUGCAGCCCACAGAGAGUAUUAACACACCCAGGCAUUUCUUUUGUGAGACUAUUCCUGUCUUAGUUUCUCCCAAAAAGAUGUUGGUAGCAAGGAAGCAGGAGAAAAGGGCUGGGGAGAUACUUCAGUGGGUCAAACACUUGCUGUGUACAGUGAGGACCUGAGGUUGAGCCCAUGUAAAAAGCUGGACUUGGUAGCUCACCUUUUUAAUCCUGAUGCUCCUACAGAAAGCUGGAGUUGGAGACAUAGAACUCCUGAAGCUCACAGGACAGCUAGCCUGUCACACAAAGCAGCAGCUCACUGUGAGACCUGCCUCAAGGAAUGUAAAGGGAGCCCACACACAUCUGAUGUCCGCACACUGUGGCAUGUGUGCACCUGCAUUGAUACUCUGUCUCAGAGGAACUCCUGAAAGGACGAGAGGCCGCAAGAAACACUGGUUACCAACUGACUCUGGUGUGCACAGGAUUCAGAGACCAACGCUAGAGAGCAAUCAACACAGAUUGAUUGUGGGGUACAGGAGUUGGAAUGGAAAGGGCACAGAAGGAAACAAAGUUUUUCUUUUAAUUUGGCUUUGAGUCUCUUAAUUGUCAAGUUAGGAAAUAGUCCAUGUUUGGGUCUGCUGGAAUACUCACCCAGGGGCAGUGGUGGACUGGGGUGGUCUACUCAAGCCAUACAUUUUACUGGUCAGUAAAACAGAAAUAAAAAUACAUCCUGAAGUUGUCACAGGUCCUGUGUGGACCAAGGUUGAAGGGAAGUUAGCAAAGGAAACCCAUUUCACCUUAUACUUUAGUUGGCUAAGUUCUGUUAGUCUCCGCACCCACUCACACAUAUUGCUUCUCCAAGGCCUGAAAGGCAUCACUUCUGGUCAGGCCAAGUGCUUUUCAGACUGUGCUGGGCAUCUGAGAUCGCACACUUCUGCCUGUCUCUGUCCUUCUCCCCCUGGACUGGCUGAGGCGGGCUGCAGCAGGCUGGCAAGUGGAUCACAGUCCUUAGGCAGCCUUCUGAAGCUCAGCAUUAUCACAGGCCUUUGGAGUGCUUCAAAGGGGAAGGAAGGAAGGAAGCAGACUGUGGAGUCAACAACCCUUUGAAAAUUAAAGGGAAGGUUUCAGAAUUUCCUGGGGCGAUGCCAACCGGAGCGCGAGGGAUUUGGGAAGGUACAGUCGUCUCCCUCAGCGCCAUUCUCUAGCUCCUCUCCGGAGUCCCCAAACACAUGGGGAUGACUGUUUAGCUGUGUUUCCCUUUGUUCCUAGGACACCUUUUCCCUCAGUGAAAGCAAACCCAACAUCGGCAACCAGCGCUUGGGAGCAAGAGGCAAAGGUUUUGGCACGAUCAGGCCUGCAGGGAUUGAACUUGGAGCCACACCCAUGGCCCUCUACACUGAACCCCAAGCAUGAAGCACUGAGUCCAAAGUGUCAGACAGCAUCACGGAGCUGGUGAAAACAGCAAUCAGCAUGCGUUCAGCAGCGGGGUUAUGACUUUAAAAAUCUGCCCACGGCUUCCAUGUUUUUGGACUGCUGGCGAUGUUCUACCUUUCUAUGCUUUCUGCAAGCCUGUUACUGCCCAGAUGUCUGAUAGUAACAGCAAGUGCCCAAUGAUAGAAAAAACCACGAGACCCUGCUUGCAUACUGCAGAGAAAACUUACUGCAGCCUGGGUCAGAUGUUCACUCCCAUGGCCUGCAGUUUUCUUAUAGCAAAAACUAGAAGCUUACUGUGAAUAAAAACAAAAACAACACCUGGUAGUGGUGA